GUGUUCCUGCGGGCUGAGAAGAGCCCUUUGGUCAUGAGGAUGGGGCAGAGGGACCCCGUGUGCAUGGUGUCAUCAGCAAGGAUCUCCUCUUCCCCAGCACGCUGAGAAGGGACAGGGAAGGUGUCCUGGGCUGAUGACACAAUUCAAUUGCAAGGGGCAGUACUUCACCAGGCUCACAGAGGGAAACUGACAAAGCCCCGCUGCAAUUUAUACCAGCAGCAACAUAGAUAUUUAUACAGAAAAUCUGGGGAUGGACUUGGCCAGCUGUUGCUGCUGCCUCUUGCGGAGAAGUCAGAGCCAUGCUUAUGGCGGCUGCAACUGUUAGUUGGCUCUUGGUGUAAUUGAUGGACACUGCCAGUUGCUUAGACAGAUGGGAAUUAACACUGGUGUUCCCAUUAGAACUUGCCAUCACAGUCACGUUGGCUUUGGUCUCCUGCACUGGGUUGAUGUGUGCAAGAGAGUGCAUGUGGAAGGAGCAAGCGUAACUCCUGCCUGCAGUACUCGCCUUCCAGGGUAUUGGAGCCAUCCAUCCAACACAGAGCAGACGAGCUGCUUGCCAGUUUGCAGAACACAUGGCUUUGAGAUGGUGAGGAAAAUGCUUCUUUGCUGGAUGCUGAGAGAUUGCAGUGAGCGGGACUCUCAUCCCUGGAGGCAUCUGUAAGCUGUACUUACAGGUAGGCUGACAGAAGACACAGCAGCUCAGCUGGUGGGGCCACUGUCCCUAUGCGCUGGUUUGUUGGCUCCAUGCAGGGCAGGUCAUGCGCACACACAGUGCCCUCUCCUCCUCCCAAGUCUCCUGCCAUCAAAUCCAUGCCUGAUGCUCAGACCCAGCAGGUCUGGCUGCUCGCUCAGCCUCAGGGCUGAGGUGUGAGCAGUGCACGGGAGCCCCUCCCCGGCCCCAGCCGCAGAGCUGUGGUGUGCGUGGCCGUGCGCUCGCACGCAGCACAGGAGAUGUUUGACGCUCAAGGUAGGAGCGUGUUGCCCACUGC
rnacentral:lncRNA from 13 species